rnacentral:rRNA from 1 species
GUGCCAGCCGCCGCGCUAAUUCGGGUGAGGCAAGCGUUGUUCGGAAUCACUGGGCUUAAAGCGCGUGUAGGCGGCUCGGUAAGUACCUUGUGAAAUCCCUUUUCUCAAUGAAGGAACCGCUGGGUAUACUGCCGGGCUGGAGGCAGGNAGGGGUCACUGGAACUCUAGGUGGAGCGGUGAAAUGCGUANAUAUCUAGAGGAACGCCCGUGGCGAAAGCGGGUGACUGGGCCUGUCCUGACGCUGAGACGCGAAAGCGUGGGUAGCAAACGGGAUUAGAUACCCCGGUAGUCCACGCCGUAAACGAUGCACACUAGGUUUGCCUGACUCUGACGUCCGGCGUGCCGAAACAAAAGCGUUAAGUGUGCCGCCUGGGGAGUACGGCCGCAAGGCUAAAACUCAAAGGAAUUGACGG